rnacentral:rRNA from 1 species
UACAUGGGGUGCAAACGUUGCUCGGAAUUAUUGGGCGUAAAGCGUACGUAGGCGGUUCGUUAAGUCGGAUGUGAAAGCCCUCGGCUCAACUGAGGAAGUGCACCCGAAACUGGCGAGCUUGAGUACGAAAGAGGAUCGCGGAAUUCCCGGUGUAGAGGUGAAAUUCGUAGAUAUCGGGAGGAACACCGGUGGCGAAGGCGGCGAUCUGGGUCGAUACUGACGCUGAGGUGCGAAAGCGUGGGGAGCAAACAGG